GUGGUCACUUUGGCAGCACAUAUACUCAAAUUGGAACAAUACAGGUAAGAUUAGCAUGGCCUCUGUGCAAAGAUGACAUGCAAACUCAUGAAGAAUUCCAUAUUUUA
rnacentral:snRNA from 1 species